rnacentral:pre_miRNA from 1 species
UACCUACUCCCUCCGUCCGAAAAAGCUUGUCCCUAAAAUGGAUGUAUCUAGCACCAAGUUAGUGCUAGAUACAUCCAUUUGAGGAACAAGCUUGGGACAAGUUUUUUCGGACGGAGGGAGUACUAG